AAGAACCUUACCUACUCUUGACAUCCACGGAACUUAUCAGAGAUGCUUUGGUGCCUUCGGGAACUCUGAGACAGGUGCUGCAUGGCUGUCGUCAGCUCGUGUUGUGAAAUGUUGGGUUAAGUCCCGCAACGAGCGCAACCCUUAUCCUUUGUUGCCAGCGGUCCGGCCGGGCACUCAAAGGAGACUGCCAGUGAUAAACCGGAGGAAGGUGGGGAUGACGUCAAGUCAUCAUGGCCCUUACGAGUAGGGCUACACACGUGCUACAAUGGCACAUACAAAGGGAAGCCACCUCGCGAGAGCAAGCGGACCUCAUAAAGUAUGUCGUAGUCCGGAUUGGAGUCUGCAACUCGACUCCAUGAAGUCUGGAAUCGCUAGUAAUCGUGGAUCAGAA
rnacentral:rRNA from 1 species